GGCCUGGUGGUGGAACGGUUAACACGCCGGCUGUAUAUGUAGUAUCAAAAUCAAACGUUUAAGCCGGAGGUUCCUUGUUCGAAUCAAGGUCGGGCCA